AUUGAACGCUGGCGGCAUGCUUUACACAUGCAAGUCGAACGGCAGCGCGGGGGCAACCCUGGCGGCGAGUGGCGAACGGGUGAGUAAUGUAUCGGAACGUAUCCUGUAAUGGGGGAUAACCAGUCGAAAGAUUGGGUAAUACCGCAUACGCACGAGAGUGGAAAGUAGGGGAUCGCAAGACCUUACGUUAUAGGAGCGGCCGAUAUCUGAUUAGCUAGUUGGUGGGGUAAAGGCCUACCAAGGCGACGAUCAGUAGCUGGUCUGAGAGGACGACCAGCCACACUGGGACUGAGACACGGCCCAGACUCCUACGGGAGGCAGCAGUGGGGAAUUUUGGACAAUGGGCGAAAGCCUGAUCCAGCCAUGCCGCGUGCAGGAAGAAGGCCUCGGUUGUAACUAGCUUAGUCUAGGAAAAGGGUAGGACGAGGUUAAGUAACCUCCGUGCUUUGUAUGGUACGUGGUAAGAAGUAAAGACACCGGCGUAACCUACGUAGUCCGAGCAGCCGCGGUAACGUAGU
rnacentral:rRNA from 1 species